AUCAACGCUGGCGGCGCUGCCUUAACACAUGCAAGUCGAACGAGAAAGGGAGCAAUCCAUGAGUAAAGCUGGCGUACGGGUGAGUAACACGUGAUCAUCCUACCCUCUGAGUGGGGAAUACCCUCGGGAAACCGGGGACUAAUACCGCAUAACCUGUAAGGAUCAAAUGCAGUAAUGCAGCUGAGAGAGGGAGGUCCGCGGCCGAUUAGCUAGUUGGGUAGGGUAAUGGCCUACCAAGGCGACUGAUCGGUAGCCGGCCUGAGAGGGCAGCACGGCCACACUGGCACUGAAAUACGGUCCAGACUCCUACGGGAGGCAGCAGUGGGGAAUCUUGCGCAAUGGGAGGAAACUCUGAUGCAGCGAACGCCGCGUGAGCGAUGAAGCCCUUCGGGGUGUAAAGCUCUUUCGACGGGGACGAUAAUGACGGUACCCGGAGAAGAAGCUGCGGCUAACUACGUGCCAGCAGCCGCGGUAAUACAGUAGGGCAGCGAGCGUUGUUCGGAAUUACUUGGGCGUAAAGAGUGUGGUAGGCGGUGCGGCUAAGUUCGUUGUGAAAUCUCCUGGCUUAACUCGGAGGGUGCGCCGGAAACUGAGCGGCUCGAGCUAUGGGAGAGGUGAGCUGGAAUUCCCUGGUGUAGCGGUGAAAUGCGUAGAUAUCAGGGAGGAACACCUGCGGUGUAAGACGGCUUCACUGGACCAUAACUGACGCUGAUGACACGAAAGCGUAGGGGAGCAAACAGGAUUAGAUACCCUGGUAGUCCUACGCCCUAAACUAUGCAUAGCUUGGUGUCGGCCAGGUACCAAUCCUGUCGUGCCGGAGCUAACGCGUUAAGCGAUCCGCCUGGGGAGUACGGUCGCAAGGCUGAAACUCAAAGGAAUUGACGGGGGCCCGCACAAGCGGUGGAGCAUGUGGUUUAAUUCGACGCAACGCGAAGAACCUUACCUGGGCUCGAAUGCUGCAGUGGACCUGCCGGUAGAAACUACUGGCUUUCCCCGCAAGGGGCAUGUAGUAGUAGGUGCUGCAUGGCUGUCGUCAGCUCGUGUCGUGAGAUGUUGGGUUAAGUCCCGCAACGAGCGCAACCCUAUGUCCAUGUUUGCCUACUCAUUCAGUGAGGCACUCUGGCAGAAACCGCCAGCGAUAACGUUGGAGGAAGGUGGGGAUGACGUCAAGUCAUCAUGGCCUUUAUGUCUAGGGCUACACACGUGCUACAAUGGUCGGUACAAACCGCUGCGAACCCGCGAGGGGAAGCUAAUCGGCAAAAAGCCACUCUCAGUUCGGAUUGGCAGUCUGCAACUCCGCCUGCAUGAAGCUGGAAUCGCUAGUAAUGGCAGUAUCAGAACGACUGCCGGUGAAUACGUUCCCGGGCCUUGUACACACCGCCCGUCACAGUCACGAAAGUGGGUUGUACUAGAAGCCCGGCAGCUGCCACUCGCAAGGGAGGCAGCGGUCCAAGGUAUAACUCAUGAUUGGGGUG
rnacentral:rRNA from 1 species